rnacentral:rRNA from 1 species
GAUGAACGCUGGCGGCGUGCCUAAUACAUGCAAGUCGAGCGAACAGACGAGGAGCUUGCUCCUCUGACGUUAGCGGCGGACGGGUGAGUAACACGUGGAUAACCUACCUAUAAGACUGGGAUAACUUCGGGAAACCGGAGCUAAUACCGGAUAAUAUAUUGAACCGCAUGGUUCAAUAGUGAAAGACGGUUUUGCUGUCACUUAUAGAUGGAUCCGCGCCGCAUUAGCUAGUUGGUAAGGUAACGGCUUACCAAGGCAACGAUGCGUAGCCGACCUGAGAGGGUGAUCGGCCACACUGGAACUGAGACACGGUCCAGACUCCUACGGGAGGCAGCAGUAGGGAAUCUUCCGCAAUGGGCGAAAGCCUGACGGAGCAACGCCGCGUGAGUGAUGAAGGUCUGCGGAUCGUAAAACUCUGUUAUUAGGGAAGAACAAAUGUGUAAGUAACUAUGCACGUCUUGACGGUACCUAAUCAGAAGGCCACGGCUAACUACGU